rnacentral:lncRNA from 1 species
UUUUUUUUUUUUCGUUUUUUUUUUUUUUGUCUUUUUGCCUUUUCUAGGGCUGCUUCCUGCGGCAUAUGGAGGUUCCCAGGCUAGGGGUCGAAUCGGAGCUCCAACAAUAAACAAACAAGCAAACAAAUAAAUAAAUAUGUCCAAGGUACAAAGCAGAAAAUGCGACUCAUCAAGAGCUUCCUUUGCUUUAUCGUGGCAACUAUUCGAACUUUAACAGCAACAGAAUUAUUCCUAAAUAUCACUUAUCUUGCACUUGAAAUCCUAUUUUUACUUAUUUAUGAUCCUGAAGACAAGUGCAAAGCACUCAAUUAGUAUUCAAAACAACCCUAUGAGAGAAGUACUAUUAUUAUCCACAUUUUACAGAAGAGGAAAUUGAGGCAUAGAGAGUUUACAUAACUAGCCCAAGGUCACAAGACUAGUAAGUGGUAGAGUCUAGAUUUAAUCCAGCUGUCUGGCUCCGGGGUUAGCGCUCUUAAUGGCUUCAUUACGCUGCCUCUCCCUGUUCAACUUCAUUAUGUUAUAUCUCUCCCACUCACUUUUAUUAGCUCAACCAUCCAAAUGCAGCCAAAUUUCUGGUGCCAACUCCAUCAAUCAAGGCAAAGAAGUGAAUUAAAGUAAACAAACUAUUAUUCUCAGGCACAGUACUUAAAAAUCUAUGACAUUAGUCUAUUAAUAACUAUGCACUGAUCUAGCUUAUCUAUGGAGUAACAAACCAACUAUCAACUGACAAAUCACUUGUUAGAGUGGGUAACUAAUCUGAACCAAACAUCAUUUCCAUGGAGACAGACAAAGUAUCGACGGGUUCAUGAAAUUAAGUAUGAUGACCUUGAGCCAUGCAUGCACAGAUCAAGCAACUGACAGAAACAAAAACAAAAUUUUAAGUAUGGAAUACAUAGACAAUGGGGAGUUCCCAUUGUGGCGUGGCGGAAACAAAUCCUAGUAACCAUGAGGUUUCAGGUUUGAUCCCUGGCCUCGCUCAGUGGGUUAAGGAUCCAGCGUUGCUGUGGCUGUGGUGUAGGCUGGCAGCUGUAGCUCUGAUUAGACCCCUCGCCUGGGAACCUCCAUAUGCCACGGGUGCAGCCCUAAAAAGAAAAAAAAGAAAAAAAAAGAAUACGUAAGCAAUGGCUCAAAGAUGAUGCAGAAUAAGUAUUCUGGGAAUGAAUGUUUGAGAAGUGAUUUUGAUCAUUAUAAUACUCCACUAUGAACUGGCAAACUAUAGUUCAUGGGCCAAAUUUGGCCCGCAGCCUGUUUUUGUAAAUAAAGUCUUAUGAGAACAAAACUAUGCUCAUUUUGUUUUUUUUUUUUUGUUUUUUUUUUU